ACGCCUUUUGCAUCUCAAUCAUUUCACAACAUAUUUUUCCUUAUUUACCAGCCUACUAGUAUCCAUGGGGAUCCAUAGGGGUCCCGCUACCCGUGAACCCUUAACACUUGUAAUCAUAUUCCAGGGCCGUCCCCAUACCCCGUCCGGUAUGGGCGCCAAAACUAUAAACCUCAGGGUGUCCGGUAUGAGGGUGAAACGGGCCGUCCCCAUACCCCGUCCGGUAUGGGCGCCAAAACACAUAGGGUCUCCAUACCCCGUCCGGUAUGAGAGACCACAAUCCCGGUAGGGUUCCCUAC
rnacentral:lncRNA from 1 species